rnacentral:rRNA from 1 species
UACAGAGGGUGCGAGCGUUAAUCGGAAUUAUUGGGCGUAAAGGGCGCGUAGGCGGCUUUGCAAGUGACGGGUGAAAGCCCUCGGCUUAACCGAGGAACUGCCUGUCAGACUGUGAGGCUUGAGACCGGGAGAGGUGAGUGGAAUUCCCAGUGUAGCGGUGAAAUGCGUAGAUAUUGGGAGGAACACCAGUGGCGAAGGCGGCUCACUGGACCGGAACUGACGCUGAGGCGCGAAAGCGUGGGGAGCAAACAGG